UAGGGAAUCUUCGGCAAUGGACGAAAGUCUGACCGAGCAACGCCGCGUGAGUGAAGAAGGUUUUCGGAUCGUAAAACUCUGUUGGUAGAGAAGAACGUUGGUGAGAGUGGAAAGCUCAUCAAGUGACGGUAACUACCCAGAAAGGGACGGCUAACUACGUGCCAGCAGCCGCGGUAAUACGUAGGUCCCGAGCGUUGUCCGGAUUUAUUGGGCGUAAAGCGAGCGCAGGUGGUUUAUUAAGUCUGGUGUAAAAGGCAGUGGCUCAACCAUUGUAUGCAUUGGAAACUGGUAGACUUGAGUGCAGGAGAGGAGAGUGGAAUUCCAUGUGUAGCGGUGAAAUGCGUAGAUAUAUGGAGGAACACCGGUGGCGAAAGCGGCUCUCUGGCCUGUAACUGACACUGAGGCUCGAAAGCGUGGGGAGCAAACAGGAUUAGAUACCCUGGUAGUCCACGCCGUAAACGAUGAGUGCUAGAUGUAGGGGGCUAUAAGUUCUCUGUAUCGCAGCUAACGCAAUAAGCACUCCGCCUGGGGAGUACGACCGCAAGGUUGAAAC
rnacentral:rRNA from 1 species